rnacentral:tRNA from 1 species
GCCAGCGUGAUUGCCAGGCGUAAACGCUGCUCUCCUAAAGCCGGUGUCGCAGGUUCGAAUCCUGCCGAGGGCA